UGGGGCUGGGCUCAGUGGGAGAGCGCUGGCCUGGAAUGUGGGAGGCCAGGCUUCGACCCUCAGCGUCAC
rnacentral:tRNA from 1 species